GGCUUUUACCGGAGCUGUUUUUCAGCUCUGACAGCUCGUAUGCGAGGUCAUUACAGAGUGUUACGACAGCUCUGCGAUUUGGCCCUGUUUUAUUUUGACUGGUUAAAAAGGGAGCAUGAGAGCUGAGGAGGACUUUUCUCAUUUCUUUACAUGCUUUUAUGCUGAAUCUCUGUUUCCAUGGUAGCAUUUAGAAGUGUAGAGGGAUCUGUUAGCACUCAGCGCUGUGCUGCAAAGUCUGUACGCUUGUGAAAGUCGUGUUUGGAGAGUAUAGGAAAACGUUUAAAGCCAUAUUGUUCUCACAGAUCAUGAAUUCGCUGACAGUUAAGAGUCAUCUGAUGUUAUUUUUAAGCAUUAGAAGUUGUUGUUUUUUUUUUUUUAAAUUGCAGUAAUUUUCAGUGUUUUAAUCCCAGAUAUGCCUGUAAAUACUGACCUGACAAGUUCAGUUACCUCUUUUCUGUCAUUUAUUUUAUUGUUAUUUUUAGUGUUCUAGUUAUGCAUUAUUAACCCUCCUAUUAUGUUAUUACACAUUUGCUUAUAUAUGCAAAUAUGUCUUCUUAUGGCUUAUCUCGGACAAGGUUUACUGUUUGAAGCUGUUCCUUUGCGUGUAUUUAAACUGUGGAAGUCAUUUUGACACGUAACAUAAUGGAGGUAACUUUUUCCCCCAACAUAAUAGGAGGGUUAAAGAAGCCGUUUUUAAUGUUUAUAGUCCUUGGCUUUCUGGGAGGUGAAAUGUAUGUAACUGCAGUUAAAAACAUUGACAAAAUAUGCCUCUUUUGAAACUGCAUAUGCCCCAUGAGUGUUUUUGUGGUAGGUGGCUUUUUUUGUGUUUUUCAGUGUUUUUUGUGUUUUUCAGUGUUUUUUGUGGUUUGUAAACAUUACAAACGGCAGCUUUUAAUUAUUCUUUUGUUUUUAAAUCACAAUCACUUAUUUCCUAACCUUUUUUUCCUUUUACAGUUAGGGGUUGCCUAAUUUGACAGAUACAGUCCUCAUACACUUGUUCAUUAUUGUUUUUAAUCCGUUUUCUUCCCUUCCUUCUGUGUUUAAGCUUGACCAAUUUAAGUACUUUAUUAACUUGUGUUUUUUUUUGUUGGUUUAAACUUUAAACGAGGUGAAAAUGAAAGGACUAGGGUUCUCCUAGACCUCUACUAUAACAUGAGAGUAGUUAUAUCAUACACUUUCUGUCAAACGGUCAAUCAAAGUGUUGUGUGUGAUAAUUUAUGACCCUCUGUGCUUCCCUGACUGACAGGUCUGUAGGGGUGGUGAGGGGGGUAACCCUAUGGAGUUUAUCAGAUGAUCAAUCUGGCUCCUUUGUGUCUUGGGGUGUUGUGGAGAGGUGUGUGUUGGGGGGAGAAUAGUCCCCCUCCCAACGAAAGGUGUUUAUGUUAAUGAGUUUGGUUUUUGGUGGGGUGAAAUACGUCUGAAAAGAAAUAAUGUUUUUAAUAUGGGGAUGUGUUUGUGGUACUUUGUGGCGUUAUUUCGUUUGUCUAAACACUGUUAGAAAAGCAUGAUGUUUGAAUGUGUACAUAUAUGAGUAGAAUAUUUGUUUUGUGAAAUAAAUGAAAACAAUUGUUGAUUAUGUUUUUUAGGGAUCCCGUUUUACCUUUGAAUAAAAAGUUUAGGAGUUAAAGCGUCUUUAAAAAAAAAAAAAAAAACAAUCUGUUUAAAAUAAUCGUUUGUAUUACAUACAUUCUAAACACAAACCUUUAGGAUGUAAAAAUGGUUAAAAGAGCUGUUUAAAAAGAAUAGCGCAUAUUACACGACUUCUAAACAAAGAUCCUUACGAGGUAAAAAUGUUAAAGUGCUGGUUAAAAGAUGUUUAAACUAGGAGAUAAGUUUUUUCCAGAGUUGUCUUCCAGUCGCUGUGUUAAGCAGUAAUGAAGUUAAACUGAGACACCUCACUCUCGCUAAACCCCGCCCACACACACGUGUUUUCAGACACGCCUCUCUCUCCCUCUCUCUCUAAACACACCCAUACACGUGUUUUCAUCGUAGCCAGUACGUUCUGUCAAAAUGUCAAUCACGGCGGUAGAACUAGAGGGCUAAUUUAUGAUUUGUGUUU
ensembl:lncRNA